ACAUGCUUUUACAUAAAAAUUCUUCCAGAUUAAAGUGAAGUGUUAUGAAGUUUAGUACCUGCACUUAAGUCUUAAGUAAUUGAAAGACAAAAUAGUUAAGUCAAGCACUAUCCCUCCUGUUUAUACUUCACCUUUGUUCUAGAGUUUUUCAUAAGUUUUCAAAAUAAAACUCAGAGUUCCCAGCAAUGAUUCUCUCAAGUCUCUCUAUAUGUGGUAUUUGUGGUUCCUUACCAUAAUGUCACUUACCUAUAGCUAAUGGAAUGUUUAAGUGGAGCUCAUAGGAGUGAAAACAGCUCAUACAUAUGUUGUCUAAUCGAGCCAUGGAUCCAAAGGAACUCAGCAUAUAAUUAAAUCAAGAUGUGCAUGUGUGAUGGAGUAAAUGAUAGUGAUGAUGAAAAUGCAUAAGUGAUUAUAAAACUUAAUUCUCAUUGCUCCUUAUAUUGCUAUCUCUUCUCUUCUUUGAUCUUCGCUUUGGGAGAACAUGGGCUCUCUUUUUCUCUCUUUUUUUUUCAGGUGGGUAGUAGAUACCCCUAAUUCUACUGUCGGACACUUGUCCAUUUUUACCUCUCAAGUGGGCAUCUUUGUACCCCUAAUUCUACUCCGGACACUUGUCCAUUUUUACCUCUCGUCUCCCUCUUUUUCUUUCUUUUUCCGAGGUUCCGGGCACUUGCCCCUUUUUAUUUCCUCAUAUAUUUUUGCAUAACCCAUGCCUCUUCUGCAUUGAAUCUUUUUAGAGAGAGAAUAACAAUAUUCGGGACAGUGAGUAAUAAUAUUUUUUAGCAAUUUUAAUGAUUGGCGAUGAAUGCUGUGGUAGAUGUGUGCAAGUGAAUAUCUUAAUUUAACCACAUGAAAAGCUCCUAAGGGUCUACACAGCUUGAUCAAACUCAAUGUGAAUAUAGUAAAAGAUGUUAUAGCAAGUAUGGCUGUGGUAGGUAAUUUGUUAUGCUAGGAACUCAUCAUGUGAUUUGUAAGUUUUCAAAAUAAAUCUCCAGAACAUAGUGUAGUAGGAACAAGAUAAACAGUAGCUCAACUUUAUAUCAUGCCUUUCUCUCACCUAGAAUUUAGUUUUAUGCUUCCCAAAGAUAGUAAUUUUUGUUUUAGUAAUUCCUGGAAGAACUCUAAUAUAAAAGCUAGGUAGUUGUAAGUAAGC
rnacentral:lncRNA from 1 species